rfam:Gemmata sp. SH-PL17, complete genome.
GCUCGCGUAGCUCAGUGGUAGAGCAGCGGUUUUGUAAACCGCUGGUCGUGGGUUCAACUCCCUCCGCGAGCU